rnacentral:rRNA from 1 species
UAUCAAUAAGCGGAGGAAAAGAAACCAACAGGGAUUGCCUUAGUAACUGCGAGUGAAGCGGCAAGAGCUCAAAUUUGAAAUCCAGCUUUUGUUGGAAUUGUAAUUUGUAGAAGCAUCUUUUGAUAGGUAUCUGCAUACGUUCCUUGGAAUAGGACAUCAUAGAGGGUGAGAAUCCCGUUCAUGGUGGCAUACCGAUUCUUUGUAAGUUGCUUUCGACGAGUCGAGUUGUUUGGGAAUGCAGCUCUAAGUGGGUGGUAAAUUCCAUCUAAAGCUAAAUAUUGGCGAGAGACCGAUAGCGAACAAGUACAGUGAUGGAAAGAUGAAAAGUACUCCGAAAGGAGAGUGAAAUAGGACGUGAAAUUGUUAAAAGGGAAGUGCUUGAGAUCAGUCUGGGUAGUAGUGAUCAUCUGUGCUUUUGUGCGGUGCACUUGCUAUUUCCCCGGCCAGCAUCAGUUUGUGAUUGUGGAUAAUUGCAUUGGAAUGUGGCUCUUUCGGGAGUGUUAUAGCCUUUGUCGAUACACGAUUGCAGACUGAGGCCUGCGAUUCUAGGAUGUUGGCGUAAUGAUCUUAAGCAGCCCGUCUUGAAACACGGACCAAGGAGUCUAACAACUAUGCGAGUGUUUGGGUGUUAAACCCGUACGCGUAAUGAAAGUGAACGUAGAUGGGAACUUUUUGUGCACCAUCGACCGAUCCAGAUGUUCUCGGAUGGAUUUGAGUAUUAGCAUAGCUGUUGGGACCCGAAAGAUGGUGAACUAUGCCUGAAUA